UGAGAGUCUGUGUUAGUCCCGGAGCUGGGAAGUCUGAGAUGAAGGGGCUGGCCUGUAGAUGGUAGUCUGCGUCUUCCCGUGGGUUUUUCCUCUGUGCCUGUCAGCACCUGCCAGGGCAAUGCAAAGGAAUGCCAUCAACUUCUAGUUAGGACAAGGGAGACUUGGAAAUUUGGAGGGAAAGGACAGAAUAUAAUUAGAGGAUAAUGUCACUGGACUUAGAAAUGUAGCCGAAUUCUUGGAUUCAGUGGGAGUUUAUUGGAAUUCUUGGAAUGAAUUUGAAUUCAAACCUAGCCUGAUUGUGUAUUUUCUCCAGAGCAUGUUCAGCUGCUUAGGUUCAAGAGUGCAGCUCACAGGGGUUGACUAAGGGAGGAGAGACAGGGCGGAUUCCUGCAUGGGAAGAGCUAUAUCGAUUUCUUAUGGAAUUUAAGGGAUGAAUGAGACAGUAGCAUCAACAGAACUGGAGGUGACAAUGUGUCAGAAAAUUUGGGACUUGGAGUACCUGUGUAAGCAUUUGGCAUCAGGAAACACCCAGCAUGUUUACUACGACAUCAACAAGCGGCUUACUGUGUCUUUUAUGGUCUCUCCAGAAUAACUGGAACUGCUCAGGUGUUCUUAUUAAAAAUUAACUGUGUCACUUUAAGAAUGAACUCGCUUGUAGGACUUUCCUUACAUAUCAGUGAGAUAGGAUGCUAUACACAUGUGCAAUUAAAUACUUAAUGUCUCAAAAACGUGGCUUUUUUCUUCUCUGCCAUUUCCAAAUGACUUACGAGGCUUUCUCUUUCACUCUUCUUUUCUUUUUGGCUACAUUCAUGUGUGCAAAAAUUAUUUAGGUAACCGUUGAUAUAGCAUAUUAAAUGAAUGACAUUUUUGGAAUGUUUGUUAUCUGACAUCUGUAAACUACUUCAUGCUUUUUAUAUCAGGUAUAUUAAAAUCACUUUGGAAGUUUAA